GACGAACGCUGGCGGCGUGCUUAACACAUGCAAGUCGAACGGUGAGGCCCUGCUUUUGUGGGGUGCUCGAGUGGCGAACAGGGGUGUAUCACGUGAGUAACCUGCCCUUGACUUUGGGAUAACUUCAGGGAACUGGGGCUCAUACCGGAUAGGAGCUCCUGCAGCAUGGUGGGGGUUGGAAAGUUGCGGCGUUUGGGGAUGCACUCGCGGUUUAUCAUCUUGUUGGUGAGGUAGUGGCGUACAAAGGCUUUGACGGGUAGCCGGCGUGAGAGGGUGACCGGCCCCAAUGGGACUGGGAUAGCGGCCAGAGUCAUACGUGAGGAAGCAGCGGGGAAUAUUGCAAAAUGGGCGGCAGCCGGAUGCAGCGAUUCCGGGUGCGAGAAGACUGCUGGUGGGGUGGAACGUGCGUGCGACUGUGACGAAGCGUGAGUGACGGUAACGGGUAAAGAAGCACCGGCUAACUACGUG
rnacentral:rRNA from 1 species